ACAAUCACGUGGGGGCUUUGUUAAAACAGGAAUUCUGGGCCCCGCUCCCGGACACCUCAUUCAAUUGGUCUCAGCUGGGCCUGAGAAUGCGCAUUUCUAACCGGUUCCCGGGGUAUGUUUUGGGAAGGACUGCUCUGUGUGUUGCGUUGAUGCCCUCUAGGUUCCUUUGUCAAUAACAAAAAACCCUCUUUAGAGGAAAGUACGUCGUUCUUCUCUGUGUGUCCUCAGCACUUACACAAGGCUUGCACACCAGUGCCUAAUAAAUAUUUGGGCUUAAUCAUGAACGCUUAGAGCUGUCACCGUGGUUUACAGAUGUUUAGCGUGCGCCUGGCAUUUUUCUGGGCACAUUAGGAGUGUCUGUUUAAUGCUAGUGACAACGGUGGGAGUUAAGACCCUUAUUUUGACAUGGAUGGCUCACAAUGGGGAUGCCAGGAACCGGGAGAGGGAAAUCGUGCCUGUACCCAGACAGAUGGAAGCCAAGGUCUACCCAAGGGACAGAAACCGCUGAGUCCCGCUCCACCAACCUGGGACAAACCAGCUUAAAGGCGCUGUUCAGGAAGACUCAGCUCUCUCCGCUGGUAAUGGCUGGGAAAUGGCGGAAUCACCUUCGUAGAAGACCUGCACCUCCAGAGUCCCUGCGCCAUGGAAUGUGCGCCCCUCAUACCCCUAAACGUCCACCUUGCAGUGCUUUUGCCUGCCGGUCCUUGGUGGGCAAAUGGAGAGACCCAGCGCCAAGCUUUCUAUAUGGGAAUCACCCCUCAACCUUUCUGAAGGAUCCAGAACCUCUCUCCAGGGCUUGGAGGCCUCGGAUUCUGGAGGAUUCCACAACUUAGAGUCAAGAGGGAUGGCCUCUCGAAACAGUGGGGGUGACCUGGAGGAUCUUAGCAUUCCAGGCACAAUCCUAGCCUCGCCUGGGAGAACUGCCACUCAGAUGAGGGUCUUGGGCCUGGUGCUCCAGGAGGAGGGAAGAGGGUGCCCCUGGAGAGACGUGGCGCUCCCAUUUUACACCCUCCAGAUAGCUCUGGGGCCACGCUCCUGUGCUCCAACUCCAUUGAGUCCUGCAUGCAGCUCGGUGUUCCCCGGCCACAUCGUAAAAAGAUUUACAAGACUAUGUUAAACUGGCAGGAUCCUCCACUGGGCUCUGGAGUUCAGAGGUUCAAGGUUAAAGUGAAAAGAAGGCUGAGCAUGGAGACAACAGGAGACUUCAAGUCCCACUUGACAGUUCCUGGCUAAGUGAUCCUAAACAAGCCUCUUAACCUCUCUGAGACUCAGUAUGCCCAUCUAUGCAAUGAGAAUUUGUAACAAUAAAAUCAAAAAGCCUCCUCUGU
ensembl:lncRNA novel transcript